ensembl:lncRNA
CUACAAAUAAACAUAACGCAAAACUCAAAAUCUUUCAACACCUGUACACCAUUUUGCUUCUCCCGUUCACAAACUGAAUUCAGGUACAGCUGAUUGUAGACAAGCCUGGUGUGUGGAUAACUGAGGAACCUUUGCAAUGGCUAACUGGCUGCCAGGGGUUGGAAGAGUUCACUGAACCUUCAAAGUGCACAGCUGUUAUCUUUGACUAGUGGCCAAAAACAAAAUUAUAGCUUUGGUAAGAGGUCUCCAUGGAUCAUGCUUGUUUGUCCAGCACAUCCCACAGAUGCCUGGUUGGAUUGAGAUCUGGGGAAUAUGGAGGCCAACUCAACACCUCAAAUUCACUGCUUUUCUCCUCAAAUUAUUCCUGAACCAUUUGAUAAAAUCUUAUUUUUAGACUGAAAUACCGCAAAGGAUUCUGGGAAGUAGCUAGCCGGUCGUCACGGCAAAGCUACGAGAGCGUCUCUCAGCAUGGGCCCAAAAAAAGUUCUGUCAGCCGAGGAAGGAGACGAUAUUAAGAAGUCGCUGGAGUUUAUGACAGAGGAGAUUUCUACUGUCAAACUGCAGCAGAAAGCCAUCCUGGACCUGGUCGAGGAAGUUAAGGCUCUCCGCAUCCAGAACGCCGAGAAGGAUCGGCGGCUGGCGUACCUGGAGAACAGAGUGGCGGAUUUGGAGCAGUACACCCGGAUGAACGAUGUUAUCAUCACGGGGCUUCGCAUCAAACCCCGGUCAUACGCCCGGGCGGUCGCCACUGACAAUGUAGGAGGGCCAGGAGAGGAAGAUGUCAACUCCACGGAGCAUCAAGUGGUUACCUUUCUACGGUCCAAAGGUGUGGAAGUGGAUUAUAACAACAUUGAGGCUUGCCACCCUCUACCCCGAAAAAAUGACAGUAACAAACCAGCCAUCAUUGUGAGAUUUGCAAACAGAAAACAGAAAACAGCACUGUUAAAACAAGGAAGGAAACUGAAAGGAUCUGAUGUCUUCAUGAACGAACAUCUGAUAAAAAGAAAUGCGGACAUUGCCAGGAAAGCACGUUACUUGAAGAAACAGGGAAAAAUUCAAAAUACAUGGACCACCAACUGCAAAGUAUUCAUUAAACUCAAUGGAACACCGGAACAAGCCAAAGUGUUGGUCAUCAGAAAUAUGGAAGAGCUGGACAAAUACUGAGGUCAACUUACUCUGGAGGCGUCAGGCCUCCUCUGAUUGGCCAGUUCGAAGUUGAUUGGCAGGUGUCUAUUGGCUGGACUGGGCUCAGUUGGCCAAUCACACUCCAAGGAACACUACAAAGGAGCCGCU